CUCCAAUAGCGUAUAUUAAAGUUGUUGCGGUAAAAAAGCUCGUAGUUGGAUUUCUGUUGAGAGCGACCGGUCCAUACCACGUAUGCGUAUCUGGCUUGCUCUCGGCAUCCUCUCGAUAGACGUUGCUGCGCUUGAUUGCGUGGCGCGGAUCUCGGGACUUACUUUGAGGAAAUUAGAGUGUUCACGCAGCUUUCGCCAGA
rnacentral:rRNA from 1 species